AUGGCGGCACAAGGAGCUCAGCCGCAUCAUGGACACCGCCGUGGAGCCCAACCUCGUCUUGAGGACCAACGAUGGAAACUGUUGGCGGAUAUCGCAACGUUGAGGCAUGAGCGUGACCACCUGGAGGCUAGCGUGAGGAGGCAGACAGUAGAAGACCUGCCGUCCCGCGCAACCGCGACAGAGCUCCGCGGUCUGGAGCACAAGCUAGAGUGCGCGCUGGGUAAAGUCCGUGAAACGAAGGAUAAACUGAUGGAGGAGCAGCUAGAUGAAUCACACCACAGGGUUCACAUCCUGGAGGAGCAGAACAACUUCCUUGGCCACAUGAUUUUGAAGGUAUUGAAGCACAACCUUUGUACCCAACCUGCAAAAUGCUAG
rnacentral:rRNA from 1 species